GAUGUUAUCCAUUCAUCCAUCCAUAUGAUGAUGAUGAUUAUGAUUAUGGUCGUGCGUGACAUCAUCCGUGUUGUGAUAUAUCGAUCAUGUUCGAAUUAUAAAUUUUUUUCUUGUUUGAUUAUGAUGAUGAUGAACAGAAAAGAAACAUGAUUAGAAUACAAUGGCUGUAUUUGUGUGGACCAAAUAGCGUCAAAUCCUUGAUUGAAUGACCGAAUGAAAUAACAACAAAACAACAACAACAACAACAAAAAAUGAAAAUCGGUUCAAAGAUUAAGUCAUCGAAUAAAAGAAAAAAAAACGUUUACAUUGAAAAAAUAUUUGAGGAAACAACAACAAUCGAUCAACUUUUAAGCAACAACAACAAAACUUUUUUUUCGAAAUUCAUUUCGGAUGAUCUGUUUGGCACGACGAAGAUGAUGAUGACGGCGACGACGACGACGAAAAUUUGUCCAUCAAUCGAAGAUGGUUAAAUAAUUUAUUCAAAUCUUUGUCAUUGGUGAUGGUGGUUCUCAACUAAUCUCUGUGGUAUAUAUGCUAAAUCCUGAAUCCUGAAAUGAAAUUCCCAAUGAUCAAAAGGAUUGUCACCCAUUGUGUAAAAAAAAAUCCCUGUUGAAUAUUUAAUCAAUUCCUUUUUGGCCACACAUCAGAAUCAAGAUCACAAAUGACAUAUGAAUAAAAUUAUUUGUCAAACAACAAUGAUCCAACAAAAAAAAUUUUCAACAAAGAGCAUGUAAAAU